GUUGUAUGGUUAAGUGACUAAGCGUACACGGUGGAUGCCUGGGCAGUCAGAGGCGAUGAAGGACGUACUAACUUGCGAUAAGCGCAGAUAAGGCAGUAAGAGCCGUUUGAGUCUGCGAUUUCCGAAUGGGGAAACCCAACUGCAUAAGCAGUUACUGUUAACUGAAUACAUAGGUUAACAGAGCAAACCGGGGGAACUGAAACAUCUAAGUACCCCGAGGAGAAGAAAUCAACCGAGAUUCCGGUAGUAGCGGCGAGCGAACCUGGAUUAGCCCUUAAGCACUCGGUGAAGUAGGUGAACAAGCUGGAAAGCUUGGCGAUACAGGGUGAUAGCCCCGUAACCGACGCUUCAUCGAGCGUGAAAUCGAGUAGGGCGGGACACGUGAUAUCCUGUCUGAAUAUGGGGGGACCAUCCUCCAAGGCUAAAUACUCCUGACUGACCGAUAGUGAACCAGUACCGUGAGGGAAAGGCGAAAAGAACCCCUGUGAGGGGAGUGAAAUAGAACCUGAAACCGUGUACGUACAAGCAGUAGGAGCACCUUCGUGGUGUGACUGCGUACCUUUUGUAUAAUGGGUCAGCGACUUAUAUUCAGUGGCAAGGUUAACCGUAUAGGGGAGCCGUAGCGAAAGCGAGUCUUAACUGGGCGCUCAGUCUCUGGAUAUAGACCCGAAACCGGGUGAUCUAGCCAUGGGCAGGUUGAAGGUUGAGUAACAUCAACUGGAGGACCGAACCGACUAAUGUUGAAAAAUUAGCGGAUGACUUGUGGCUAGGGGUGAAAGGCCAAUCAAACUCGGAGAUAGCUGGUUCUCCCCGAAAGCUAUUUAGGUAGCGCCUCGGACGAAUACUACUGGGGGUAGAGCACUGUUAAGGCUAGGGGGUCAUCCCGACUUACCAACCCUUUGCAAACUCCGAAUACCAGUAAGUACUAUCCGGGAGACACACGGCGGGUGCUAACGUCCGUCGUGGAGAGGGAAACAACCCAGACCGCCAGCUAAGGUCCCAAAGUAUUGCUAAGUGGGAAACGAUGUGGGAAGGCUCAGACAGCUAGGAUGUUGGCUUAGAAGCAGCCAUCAUUUAAAGAAAGCGUAAUAGCUCACUAGUCGAGUCGGCCUGCGCGGAAGAUGUAACGGGGCUAAGCAAUACACCGAAGCUGCGGCAAUGUCUUUUAGACAUUGGGUAGGGGAGCGUUCUGUAAGCCGUUGAAGGUGAAUCGUAAGGUUUGCUGGAGGUAUCAGAAGUGCGAAUGCUGACAUGAGUAACGACAAAGGGGGUGAAAAACCUCCUCGCCGGAAGACCAAGGGUUCCUGUCCAACGUUAAUCGGGGCAGGGUGAGUCGACCCCUAAGGUGAGGCCGAAAGGCGUAAUCGAUGGGAAACGGGUUAAUAUUCCCGUACUUCUGACUAUUGCGAUGGGGGGACGGAGAAGGCUAGGUGGGCCAGGCGACGGUUGUCCUGGUUCAAGUGCGUAGGCUUGAGAGUUAGGUAAAUCCGGCUCUCUUUAAGGCUGAGACACGACGUCGAGCUACUACGGUAGUGAAGUCAUUGAUGCCAUGCUUCCAGGAAAAGCCUCUAAGCUUCAGAUAGUCAGGAAUCGUACCCCAAACCGACACAGGUGGUCGGGUAGAGAAUACCAAGGCGCUUGAGAGAACUCGGGUGAAGGAACUAGGCAAAAUGGUACCGUAACUUCGGGAGAAGGUACGCUCUUGAUGGUGAAGUCCCUCGCGGAUGGAGCUGACGAGAGUCGCAGAUACCAGGUGGCUGCAACUGUUUAUUAAAAACACAGCACUGUGCAAAAUCGCAAGAUGACGUAUACGGUGUGACGCCUGCCCGGUGCCGGAAGGUUAAUUGAUGGGGUUAGCGCAAGCGAAGCUCUUGAUCGAAGCCCCGGUAAACGGCGGCCGUAACUAUAACGGUCCUAAGGUAGCGAAAUUCCUUGUCGGGUAAGUUCCGACCUGCACGAAUGGCGUAAUGAUGGCCACGCUGUCUCCACCCGAGACUCAGUGAAAUUGAAAUCGCUGUGAAGAUGCAGUGUACCCGCGGCUAGACGGAAAGACCCCGUGAACCUUUACUACAGCUUGGCACUGAACAUUGAACCUACAUGUGUAGGAUAGGUGGGAGGCUUUGAAGACGUGACGCCAGUUGCGUUGGAGCCGUCCUUGAAAUACCACCCUUGUAUGUUUGAUGUUCUAACUUAGCCCCAUUAUCUGGGGUGAGGACAGUGCCUGGUGGGUAGUUUGACUGGGGCGGUCUCCUCCCAAAGAGUAACGGAGGAGCACGAAGGUGGGCUAAUCACGGUUGGACAUCGUGAGGUUAGUGCAAUGGCAUAAGCCCGCUUAACUGCGAGAAUGACGGUUCGAGCAGGUGCGAAAGCAGGUCAUAGUGAUCCGGUGGUUCUGUAUGGAAGGGCCAUCGCUCAACGGAUAAAAGGUACUCCGGGGAUAACAGGCUGAUACCGCCCAAGAGUUCAUAUCGACGGCGGUGUUUGGCACCUCGAUGUCGGCUCAUCACAUCCUGGGGCUGAAGUCGGUCCCAAGGGUAUGGCUGUUCGCCAUUUAAAGUGGUACGCGAGCUGGGUUUAGAACGUCGUGAGACAGUUCGGUCCCUAUCUGCCGUGGGCGUUGGAAGAUUGAAGGGGGCUGCUCCUAGUACGAGAGGACCGGAGUGGACGAACCUCUGGUGUUCGGGUUGUGUCGCCAGACGCAUUGCCCGGUAGCUAAGUUCGGAAUUGAUAAGCGCUGAAAGCAUCUAAGCGCGAAGCGAGCCCUGAGAUGAGUCUUCCCUGA
rnacentral:rRNA from 1 species